rnacentral:rRNA from 1 species
ACUCCUACGGGAGGCAGCAGCUAAGAAUAUUCCGCAAUGGACGAAAGUCUGACGGAGCGACGCCGCGUGGAUGACGAAGGCCGAAAGGUUGUAAAAUCCUUUUGCUGGGGAAGAAUAAGCAUGGGAGGGAAUGCCCGUGUGAUGACAUGAACCGGCGAAUAAGCCCCGGCUAACUACGUGCCAGCAGCCGCGGUAACACGUAGGGGGCGAGCGUUGUUCGGAAUUACUGGGCGUAAAGGGCAUGUAGGCGGUUCUGUAAGCCUGACGUGAAAGGCUAUGGCUCAACCAUGGCACUGCGUUGGGAACUGCGGGACUUGAAUCAUGGAGAGGGAGCUGGAAUUCCAGGUGUAGGGGUGAAAUCUGUAGAUAUCUGGAAGAACACCAGUGGCGAAGGCGAGCUCCUGGCCAAUGAUUGACGCUGAGGUGCGAAAGUGUGGGGAUCAAACAGGAUUAGAUACCCUGGUAGCCCACACGGUAAACGAUGUGCACUAGGUGCUGGGGCGGAUGCUUCAGUGCCGGAGCUAACGCGGUAAGUGCACCGCCUGGGGAGUAUGCUCGCAAGGGUGAAACUCAAAGGAAUUGACGGGG